GGCAGGGGAGUACCACCCCAAAAAAAGCUGAGCCGGCAGCGCCAGGAAAAGCGCGGCCGGCAACC
rfam:Rahnella aquatilis CIP 78.65 = ATCC 33071, complete genome.